CCUACGGGAGGCAGCAGUGGGGAAUAUUGGGCAAUGGAGGAAACUCUGACCCAGCGACGCCGCGUGCGGGAUGAAGGCCUUCGGGUUGUAAACCGCUUUCAGUAGGGAAGAAGCGAAAGUGACGGUACCUACAAAAGAAGCACCGGCUAACUAUGUGCCAGCAGCCGCGGUAAUACAUAGGGUGCAAGCGUUGUCCGGAAUUAUUGGGCGUAAAGAGCUCGUAGGUCGUUUGUUACGUCGGAUGUGAAAACCUGAGGCUCAACCUCAGGCCUGCAUUCGAUACGGGCAAACUAGAGUUUGGUAGGGGAGACUGGAAUUCCUGGUGUAGCGGUGGAAUGCGCAGAUAUCAGGAGGAACACCAAUGGCGAAGGCAGGUCUCUGGGCCAAUACUGACACUGAGGAGCGAAAGUCUGGGGAGCGAACAGGAUUAGAUACCCUGGUAGUCCAGACCGUAAACGGUGGGCACUAGUUGUGGGAACCUUCCACGGUUUCUGCGACGCAGCUAACGCAUUAAGUGCCCCGCCUGGGGAGUACGAUCGCAAGAUUAAAACUCAAAGGAAUUGACGGCUGAGACGNGCGAGACGACGACGAGGAGAG
rnacentral:rRNA from 1 species